rnacentral:misc_RNA from 1 species
UACGGAGGGUGCAAGCGUUAAUCGGAAUAACUGGGCGUAAAGAGCUCGUAGGUGGUUAAUUAAGUCAGAUGUGAAAGCCCUGGGCUUAACCUAGGAUGUGCAUUUGAAACUGGUUAACUAGAGUACUGUAGAGGGAGGUAGAAUUCCAGGUGUAGCGGUGAAAUGCGUAGAUAUCUGGAGGAAUACCAGUGGCGAAGGCGGCCUCCUGGACAGAGACUGACGCUGAGGAGCGAAAGCGUGGGGAGCAAACAGG